GUUCAAAGCAGGCAGAUUCAUUUUUCUGCCACCGAAUACAUUAGCAUGGGAUAAUGGAAUAGGACCCUGUCCUCCUAUUUUCAGUUGGUUUUGGCAGCGCGAGGACUAGGGUAAUGAUUAAUAGGGAUAGUUGGGGGCAUUAAUAUUUAAUUGUCAGAGGUGAAAUUCUUGGAUUUAUGAAAGAUUAACUUCUGCGAAAGCAUCUGCCAAGGAUGUUUUCAUUAAUCAAGAACGAAAGUUAGGGGAUCGAAGACGAUCAGAUACCGUCGUAGUCUUAACCAUAAACGAUGCCGACCAGCGAUUAGGAGACGUUGAAUACAAAACACCACCAUCGGCGCGGUCGUCCUUGGCGCGUUCGUGUUCACGCACGGGCGCGCGAGGGCGGCUUAGCCCGGUGGCACCGGUGAAUGACUCCCCUAGCA
rnacentral:rRNA from 1 species